AGGGCAUGUCAUUCUUUGAAACUGCUCAAAAAAUUUGGAAGACUGUUGUCCGAACUUAAUCUCAGUAGGAUAACACAACCCAAGCUUUUGAGCUCAAACAUGAGAUAUGUGCACUCAGACAGGACGAACUUUCUGUCACUGCUUAUAUGGCAGAACUUCAAUGUUUAUGGUCAGAGCUGAAUUUUUAUCGCCUCUUCAAAAUCAGUUGUGCUAAUGAUGCUGCUGAGUUCAAAAAAUUUACAGA
rnacentral:lncRNA from 1 species